rnacentral:rRNA from 1 species
GAUGAACGCUGGCGGCGUGCCUAAUACAUGCAAGUCGAGCGAACAGACGAGGAGCUUGCUCCUCUGACGUUAGCGGCGGACGGGUGAGUAACACGUGGAUAACCUACCUAUAAGACUGGGAUAACUUCGGGAAACCGGAGCUAAUACCGGAUAAUAUAUUGAACCGCAUGGUUCAAUAGUGAAAGACGGUUUUGCUGUCACUUAUAGAUGGAUCCGCGCCGCAUUAGCUAGUUGGUAAGGUAACGGCUUACCAAGGCGACGAUGCGUAGCCGACCUGAGAGGGUGAUCGGCCACACUGGAACUGAGACACGGUCCAGACUCCUACGGGAGGCAGCAGUAGGGAAUCUUCCGCAAUGCGCGAAAGCCUGACGGAGCAACGCCGCGUGAGUGAUGAAGGUCUUCGGAUCGUAAAACUCUGUUAUUAGGGAAGAAGAAAUGUGUAAGUAACUAUGCACGUCUUGACGGUACCUAAUCAGAAAGCCACGGCUAACUACGUG